UACGAAGGGGGCUAGCGUUGCUCGGAAUCACUGGGCGUAAAGGGUGCGUAGGCGGGUCUUUUAAGUCAGGGGUGAAAUCCUGGAGCUCAACUCCAGAACUGCCUUUGAUACUGAGGAUCUUGAGUUCGGGAGAGGUGAGUGGAACUGCGAGUGUAGAGGUGAAAUUCGUAUAUAUUCGCAAGAACACCAGUGGCGAAGGCGGCUCACUGGCCCGAUACUGACGCUGAGGCGCGAAAGCGUGGGGAGCAAACAGG
rnacentral:rRNA from 1 species